rnacentral:rRNA from 1 species
CCUACGGGGGGCAGCAGUGGGGGAUAUUGCACAAUGGGGGGAACCCUGAUGCAGCGACGCCGCGUGGGUGAAGGAGCGUUUCGGCGCGUAAAGCCCUAUCGGCAGGGAAGAAGAUGACGGUACCUGACCAAGAAGCCCCGGCUAACUACGUGCCAGCAGCCGCGGUAAUACGUAGGGGGCAAGCGUUAUCCGGAUUUACUGGGUGUAAAGGGGGCGCAGAAGGCAAAGCAAGCCAGGAGUGAAAGCCCGGGGCCCAACCCCGGGACUGCUCUUGGAACUGCAUGGCUGGAGUACAGGAGGGGCAGGCGGAAUUCCUAGUGUAGCGGUGAAAUGCGUAGAUAUUAGGAGGAACACCGGUGGCGAAGGCAGCAUACCGGCGCUCAACUGACGCUCAUGCACGAAAGUGUGGGUAUCGAACAGGAUUAGAUACCCCGGUAGUC